CUCUGUCCCACGCCUGUAAAAACGCCGUGAAAACCGACGCCCCCCCCGCGGUGCUCUGGGACAUCAUGCGAUGCUGGGCCAAGCUGCACCCGGUGAAGCUGGAGCGGCUCCCGGACACGAGCCCGGCCGCGCGGAUCCUCGCUGUGGAGCCCACGCUCCAGGCCUCCUUCGCCCUCCGGGACGACGCCAAUCCCAGCUCCCGGAAACGCGGCUUGAAGAGGUUCCCCGAAAACCCCGAAGCCUUUUGGGGUCCCAAGGCCAGAGCCAAGGCAGGGUGAGG